rnacentral:rRNA from 1 species
AUCCCCUUGCGCAGCCUCGUCAAUACCCUCGCACGUCCUUGGUCAUUCUCUCUUCAUCUGCCUCGUCAGUCCCUCGCACAGCCGCCGCCGCCGACCCUCCUCUUGAUCGUGCCGCCGCCGCCGACCCUCGCACAGCCGCCGCCGCAUGCUCUCCUCUGCUGCCCCACCGCCCCCAGCACCGCCUUGUCCGUCGAGCAGGCCCUCCCCACCACUACUGCUCCUCACAGCAGCGCCUCCUCUCUGGAUCAGCUGCUGACGGCCGUCAACGCCGGCUACCCUCCUCUUCCCUCAGCAGCACCCCCCGAGGCUGAAUCUUCUAACGCCGCCGCCGACAGAGGAUGCCAUGUUUUUUCACGUACAUGGGAGUGGAAGCAUUAAUCAGGCACAAUUCGAUAGAUUUCCCUGAUGUCCCUACUUAGUAUUUUGAAUCACUCUAUCUGUCGCUUUGCUUAUGUAUGCUAUCUAGUUCAUGCAACCUUUUGAUAUCAGUUCAGUUCGGCCAGUUUAAUCUGCUGCUAAUAUCUGUGUUUAAUUUCAGGAGAACCAUGUCUAUCUUAAUUAGCUUAUUUAGGGGUAAUGUUGAUAUGCAUCUUAUCUUGGAUUUUGGACAUGCUACAACUAUGUGUUUAAUCAUUUUCCUGGGAUGAAUUUUGCUUUGAUCAUCGGGUAGUAAUCUGGAUUAAUGAUGUGUGCAUCCUCAUCUGUUAGUAUUUUCUUUUCAAAUGUUCAUUCGUUAAUCUUGUUCUGCAUGUCAUAAGAGUUAUAUAUCUGGUAUGGUUGUGAAAUGUGAUAAUCGAUCCUACAUAUGCUGGUUGGUUGGGAGGAUGCAUCAGUCACAUUAUGCUGUCCCUUUUCCAGCAUAUCUUUCAGUAAUAUUUUCGUCAUAUUGUUUCGUAUGUAAUCUUCUCCUCACGUACACUUAUCUUAGCUGCAUGUUAUUCGUGAACGAUCCAAUCAAAUUGAACAUGACAAAAUUGGGUUUUCAAACAUUGGAGCUCGUAGCCUUCCUGCAGGGUCCUGCACGGGAGAUUGCGGCAAUUACUGUGGCUGCACGAGCCCGUAGCCAUCAUGCACUUUGGCGGUGGCGAAGAUGAGGCCGGCGCAGACCGUGGCACAAGCGGCGAUGCAGACGCAGACCCGAAAGAUCCGAUGCAUGUACUGAUAAAAUAAUAAUAAUAUCGCUGCAUGAAUAUGAUUUCACCACAAAGAAUUGAGAUUACAAAAGGCGGAACUACGUGGAGCAAUGAAGAAACCAAUAUUGCUUUAUAUAUUGUAUGACUCGUGGUCGCCUGGAUGACUGUAAAAGUGUCCCUACUGAUUGAUUCUGGGAAUCAUGUGCUGAAUCUUUUGGUGGUGUCUGAUUGCAUCAUUCAUGCUUUAAACCUGGUGGUGGUUGAUGACUUGUAAAAUAGACUAUUGCUUUAGUUGGGAUAAACUUGAUGUUAAAUGCAUUUUGUGGAGAAGAAAAAUCCUUUAGUUUGUUUGUCGCGACAUCAGAGUUACUUUGUGUGUAAUACAGUACAUUUUAAUUUGAAUUGCAUGUGUGAG